rnacentral:rRNA from 1 species
UACGUAGGGUCCGAGCGUUGUCCGGAAUUAUUGGGCGUAAAGGGCUCGUAGGCGGUUUGUCACGUCGGGAGUGAAAUCUUACAGCUUAACUGUGAACUUGCUUUCGAUACGGGCAGACUUGAGGCAUUCAGGGGAGAACGGAAUUCCUGGUGUAGCGGUGAAAUGCGCAGAUAUCAGGAGGAACACCAGUGGCGAAGGCGACUACCUGGCCUGUUCUUGACGCUGAGGCGCGAAAGCUAGGGUAGCAAACGGG